UGUAGAUGAGCUGUCAAAGAAACAGGACGAGUUUUCCGGGUUUUUUUUCUCUUACUCUGCGAGUCGCUGAGGGAAAUCAUCUUCUCUGUCUCGAGCAGCAGCAGCUGUCACAGAAGCGGCCACGCGUACCGGAAACACUCACUUUCAGCUUCCGGAGAAACUUUACGAGGAAAAACUUUACUACUGAAGAAUAAGGGAUGUGUUUGGAGCAUCACACUCAUCCAGCAGAAGCAUGUGGACAGACAUUGACAGUAAUGAUGGUCAUCUGCUGAUGGACAGAUAUGACUGAAUCUUUCUCUGUGUCUCAGAUGAGGAGGAUGUGAAGCUCAGGACGGGUCAUCAUAUCAACACAUCAAUCUACAGACAAACAUCACAUUUGAAUAAAGAUUUAAUGAUGAAAGCCU